rnacentral:rRNA from 1 species
UACAGAGGGUGCAAGCGUUGUUCGGAAUUAUUGGGCGUAAAGGGCGCGUAGGCGGUUCGGCAAGUCUCUAGUGAAAUCUCUGGGCUCAACUCAGAGUCUGCUGGGGAAACUGCCGGGCUUGAGUGUGGGAGAGGAGAGUGGAAUUCCCGGUGUAGCGGUGAAAUGCGUAGAUAGUCGGGAGGAACACCUGUGGCGAAAGCGGACUCUC